CGAAAGUCUGACGGAGCAACGCCGCGUGAGUGAUGAAGGUUUUCGGAUCGUAAAGCUCUGUUGUUAGGGAAGAACAAGUACCGUUCGAAUAGGGCGGUACCUUGACGGUACCUAACCAGAAAGCCACGGCUAACUACGUGCCAGCAGCCGCGGUAAUACGUAGGUGGCAAGCGUUGUCCGGAAUUAUUGGGCGUAAAGGGCUCGCAGGCGGUUUCUUAAGUCUGAUGUGAAAGCCCCCGGCUCAACCGGGGAGGGUCAUUGGAAACUGGGGAACUUGAGUGCAGAAGAGGAGAGUGGAAUUCCACGUGUAGCGGUGAAAUGCGUAGAGAUGUGGAGGAACACCAGUGGCGAGCGACUCUCUGGUCUGUAACUGACGCUGAGGAGCGAAAGCGUGGGGAGCGAACAGGAUUAGAUACCCUGGUAGUCCACGCCGUAAACGAUGAGUGCUAAGUGUUAGGGGGUUUCCGCCCCUUAGUGCUGCAGCUAACGCAUUAAGCACUCCGCCUGGGGAGUACGGUCGCAAGACUGAAACUCAAAGGAAUUGACGGGGGCCCGCACAAGCGGUGGAGCAUGUGGUUUAAUUCGAAGCAACGCGAAGAACCUUACCAGGUCUUGACAUCCUCUGACAAUCCUAGAGAUAGGACGUCCCCUUCGGGGGCAGAGUGACAGGUGGUGCAUGGUUGUCGUCAGCUCGUGUCGUGAGAUGUUGGGUUAAGUCCCGCAACGAGCGCAACCCUUGAUCUUAGUUGCCAGCAUUCAGUUGGGCACUCUAAGGUGACUGCCGGUGACAAACCGGAGGAAGGUGGGGAUGACGUCAAAUCAUCAUGCCCCUUAUGACCUGGGCUACACACGUGCUACAAUGGACAGAAC
rnacentral:rRNA from 1 species